CAUUUUAUAUUUUAAGUAAGAUAUUAAAUUGCAAGUUUAAAGAUACCUAGUAGUUAAUGGUUAAAAUGU
rnacentral:tRNA from 1 species